CCGAUGAAGCUGGCUGUCGGACGGUGACAUUGGUGGCGCAACCUGUCGCGUUAAGUACGCAUAGGCCACGCUGUUUCCGCAGGGAAAAGUUUAUUAAGGUUUCAUUAAUAUCGCAGCCGGAGUUUACUUCUAUUGCAUAUACUCUUAGUGCAUUAGCACUUUCACUGGUGAUGAUAAUCGGUGGUUUAGGUUUGUUCUUGGAGCCAGCUGGCCUUCCGCGAGGGCGGCGGAGGGAUUCUCCCUCUGGCGUGCGCUGUAGCGCCACCAGCAAAUUACCUUUUGCAUCAACUCCGUGGCCACUUCCGCCAUCUACUUCUGCAACACCAGCCAUUUCUUCACACUGGAAGAAUCACCAAAUAUGUGUUUAAGUAGGCAAAUUGUGAAGACAAAUUUAUGUAAGAGAAGGAAAAAAAUUAAAUUUUGUUGAUUAGAAGAUGAUUAAGUAAUACUUUUAUAGCCAUGUAAUUUAUACUUGUGCUCCCUUUCCUAACUUUCAACAAAUUUUUCUUUCAUGUUAAUUGCCUUCCCCAACAAAACCCAUGUCUCCAUUAAUUAUACUUCAUUUGAACCAAAGCCAUGUUUAAUGCACAGCUUCGAGAGAUCUCAAAUUUUUCAUUCAAUAAUUAGCCCAAAAAAAAAUAAAAAAAAAAAAAAAAAAAUAAUAAUAAUAAGGGAAGAAGAAGAAGAAAGAAAAAGCUAUAACUUGAAUUUUGUUUAUAGUAGAACUAGAAAGGAAGAAACGUAGACCCUAUUUAGUUUAAUUAAAAAUCAGAUUUUUAGCCCCUGUUUGCCAGAUAUUAAAUUCAAAUUUUAAUUUAAGUUAAAAUCAAUAAUUAAUUUUCACCAUACAUUUGAUGAGACCUCAUAGCUUUCAAUCAUACAUUUCAUCAACUUUUAUCAAAAUUUUCUAAAAAUCUAAUUUUAAUCCUCAUCAAACAACGACUUAGUAAAUUUUGAUAAAAAUUGAUAGUAUGUGUAUUAGCCCCGUUUGGCCCCCAUUUUUUUUUUCCAAAUUUUAAUAGUUAGAAUAUUGUUUUUUUCUUAAAUGUGUAAUUGAAAAAGAAUGAAAAGUUUUUGAUUUACGUGUAAUAUUAUUUUAUGAAAGAUUGUGUGGUUGCAAAUAAUAGAGAGAAAAAGAAUGAAAAUGAGAAUGGGGACCUAACGGGGCAUUAGAAAGGUUGAUAAAAAUAGUGAUCAAAGAAGGCCUAAUCUAGUAUUGUACAAUUACAACGAAUGAAACUUAAAUUUAGUUUUCCAUCUUUUUUAAUUAUAAUUGCUAUUCAAUCCAACCAACUAAAAUAUACAUCGAAUGUUUUGCAAGGGAUAUGAUAUGAAGUAUUGAUCACUACAAAAAAUGAACACAAAGACAAGAAUUUAAUCUGACAUAGAAAUUGGAGAUUUUAUUCAAUUGUAAUGGAUAAAAAAUUACAACAAGUUUGUUUCUCACAAUUAUUCUAAUUUUUGUAUUAAAUCAUCCUGUAAAGAGGAGCCAACUAUAUAAAAGGGAACACAUCAAAACCUUAACAAUAUUCUUAAAGAUGAAAAUAAUAUAAAAAAAAAUUGUAGAAUAAAAGAAACAAUGUUUUCCAAAAAAAUGCUUGGAAUAAAGUAAAUAAUAUUUUCUAGAAAAAAAUCCAACUAAAUUUGGGUUACAAACCCAAUAAUCUCAACUUUAACACGAAUUUCACUGCAACGAACAAAACUUCAAAAUUUCUCCACCUCGAGAAAAAAAUCAAUUGCAAGGAAUGAAUUGAACUCUUCAACAAGAACGAAACUAACUUCUUCAACGAACCAAAAAUUUUCCACUUCUUCCAUGAUAUCCAACUAAAAUAAAUGAAUCCAAGCACUGCUACAUAGAAUUACCUCGAAUUCAAAAUUACAAAUGAUUUAAAAUUUAUCAAAUAGGGACAAAACACACCUUGAAACAUAAUCAACACCAAAUGCUUCUGUAGAAGGCCCCUUGCUAGACUCAACACCUUUAAAUGCACUUAAAGCAUGAGCAACAAAAUCAAUAUCAACAUACCUAUCUUCUCUGAUUUUGUCCCUAGCAAUUGAAUGCGAUGGCAUCGCAGGUGGUGAUAAAGCUACAUUACCCAUAUCAUUCGAACUCAAGUGAGUUGUAUUCUUCAACAUGGAACCUAAACUAAAUCCCAAUAGUACUGUACCAUAUUGAAUAUCCAAUACGGUACUAAGCCUUUUGCUGAUUGUUCUUCACAGAUUAUGCACAACCUUGCAAGACGUACAACUUGGACUUUUUCGCUUCUCUAAUAUAACAUGAACAUCUUUGCAAACCUUCAAAGCUUCACAUCCACCAAACAGCUUGUACCUUUUUGAAUCAAGAAUACUCAAUGAGAUGACAUUUUUUAUCAAAUUUGAAACAUGUAGAAUAUAAUCAAGUUUUCUAAUUGUACCAUCCACCAGCUUAAGUAUAACUCUAUCAAUACCAGCCACCCAACAAAGUGCGUUAUUUCCCAUGACCAUGAUACUUGUCAAAACUGUUUCAUAUAUUGAAAACAAAUCUCGGUUAGGAUAUAUAUGAAAGGCACAAGCUGUAUCCAAAAUUCAAUCCUCAUCUAAAUAACUUUUCAUUUUAAACUUUAUAGAAAGUUCCCAACAUGUUGGACCUUUUGUUAUCUAUUCAAGGCCUCCUUUAUAAGGCAUCUAUAUAUGACCCUAUCACUAAUAUGAAUUGAAUCAUUUUGACUAUUAUAAUGUCCAAUUCUAUUUAAUACUGCACCAAAUACGCCAUUCUUGUAUUUAACAGUGACUAAGGCUUGUAGCACACACUUCCAUAUGCGUACCAAGAAUUUGACAUGCAAAACCAAACUUUCACUUCUCAACAUUCUUAUCAUGUUUCAAAAAUAUGAACAUAUAUAUACCAUCGUCCCAAAUGCAUUACAUUAUAUACAUGUAUGUGUAUAAUUUUUUAAUAUAUCUCUAGAUUCUAUAUUCUUGCAACAAAGUAACAAUAAGUAGACAAUGUCAACCAUUCCAAAUCUCUUUUUGGGGGUAUCCACACAAGUGUCAUUGACCAAAUUUAGAACACUUAUGGACGACGAGAAAACUUAGAAUGAGUUAUAUCUCAUGUGCCAUCUUCAUGCUUCAAGUAAUUAUCACACACCAGGUUACAUACUAUCAGAACAAGGUGAUCCAAACUCUGUUUGGACCUGUUUUAUUACAUAUAUAUGAUGUAUGUUAGGUUUCAUCGUAUUAUAUUUGGAGUAGUCGUCAAAGCGUUUAUCUUAUGUACUCACCUUUGAUGUAGUGAAUUUCUCCUCAUCUGACCAUGAUUUUUUCUCGUCUAGAGUUUCAACGUAAAUAUGUGUUCCUAUUAUUAUUUUUAUAGUUUCUACUCUCACUUUUACAUAACAGACACUUUGUUGACAAGAGAAAUUUUAUGAUAGAGAAUAUUGAAUCGAUUCCCAUAAUGUUCUUUGGAUAUAUAGCACAUAAAUUCGCAUGCUAUUCUGGCAUUUGCAUGAUCAGAGUAUAUAUCCAUUCCUAUGCAUAUUGUCAACCUUCUCAACCUAUAUAUACUAAUGCUGCACUUCACCAAUAGACAGAAGAAUUAUAUAUGAGAAAUACAAAAGAGUGUAAUAAUUGCAUGAAUAGGAUGAGAGUACAGUAGAGCCAAGGAUGAAUUGCCGGCAGUGUAACAAUUAGUACCAAGUAGAAUGAUGAUCAAUACAUCAACAUCUUGAAAAAUUAGUCAGUAUUUGGUCGGCAAUUUAUUACUUGGCUACAUUGGGCUCUCUUCUUUUCCUGUAAUGUCAUGCACAUAGCAUAAACACUGUAGAGAAUUAGACAACGGCGUGCCCCCUAUCCUUUCAUUUUCAAAAUUAUUACGAUAAUUGGCACAAAAUCCUCUUGAUCUUUGUCUUUAUCGUGGAAUAACCCCCUAUCUCUACAUUUUAGCGGAAUCUCCCCUAGAUGAACUUUUUCUGUGCGGAAGACCUCCUAUCUUCCAAUUUCGGGAUUUUUUUUGCCCAAAUUAUUAUUGUAAUAUUCCCUAUAUACAUCUCAUUGAUAAUAAGAAAUAAUCUAGUUGCCAGUUACACAAUUUUUUUUCCCGUUUUAUUACUUAGACCAUUCUAUGUAGCGUUUAGUGCGCAAUCAUAACAACCUGAUUAUUGCUAGCUUAUCAAAAAUCCUUUUCAUAGCCACAUUUUCUCUUAUUUAGCAUAACGUUAUUCAAUCUUGGAGGAUCGACGCAGGCUCGGUCCUGAGCCGAGGCUAAUGAGGCCUACGCCUCAGGCCCAAGACCAUAGAGAGCCUAAUUUUGGCCCAAUAAUAUAUAUAUGUAUGUAUGUAUGUAUUUUUUUUAAUCUUAUAACAAUGCCUAUGGGCCCAAAGGGCCAAAAACAAUUAUCCAACAAGCUCACAAUCCAUUUACCUUUCAAAUCUAUUUACCCAACCCAAUUUACAUUUCCAAUAUCCACAAUCUAAUCCAAUUAACCGAAAAUUCCCAAAAUUUGAUUCUGAAAUACAAUAAAAAAUUUCCAAAAUCUGAAAUACUAUAGCCUGGUCGACAUGCUUGUCAAUCGUUACCUCAUUGUCGUCUCCUUUAGGUCAGUGGUUCCCAAAAUCUUUGAGAAGUCGUUCGAAGUCUCAAGUCUACAGCUCUUCUACUCUUGAGUUGCCUCUUCACUUGGACUUGGUAGUUCUGCACCAUACCGUUGGUGGCGAAAAUCUACCAAUCUGGACUAGUGCUACCAACACCCUCUGCUAUUGGCCAACGCCCUCUUUUCCCUCAAUGUUAAUCUUGGCUUCUAGAUUAUUGGGCUACUUCGAUCGAGUCAUUGGGUGGGUAAUUAAGCUUUUUUACCUUGUGCAUCCACUUUUUAUCUCUAAUCUUACUCGUUGUCAUUUUGAGUAUUCAACCUAUUCUAUCUUAAUUUGGUAGUGGUAUAAAAGCUCAUUAUUUGGUAACUUUUUUUUUAAAAAAAAAUCUUUUUUUGGGUUUUGAAUCUUGUGUAUACCAUCACUGUGGAAGGUGGAUCCACAACAUUUUUUCGUAGGGUAAAAUUUAUCUACUGAGCAGUAAAGUUUGAAGAAAUAGAUAAUUUAUAUAACUAUAGUAGGGUGUAAGCAAGUAGCUGAAUUUUUUGCAAAAAAAAGGCUUAAAUAUUGCCAAGACCAAGAAUCUAAGAUCUAGUGAUAAGGGAAUCAAGGUCUUGAUGUCUAAUAAUUCGAUUUAUGUAGCUUUUUACAAUUUUACAGACUUCAACAUGUUUUCAUUUUAUUGUAUUUUCAUAGAUUUUGAAUUUCAUUUCAAAAUAUUCUCUUCACUUAAAAGAGUCGAACAGUCUAUAUAAUAUAAUUUAUUGCAUAAUUCAUUUUUCAUUGAAUUAUUUAUCUUCACUUCACUCGCAAUCUUAUAUAAACUAAAAAGCUUUAAUUCGUAUACUGUCUGUUUUAUUACAUUUCCUUUAUGUAUUAUUGUUUCCUUUAUAUAAGCUAAGGAAACUUUAAAUUUCUUAUAUGUAUAAUAGUUUCUAGAGCAAUAUAUUGUUAAAAGAAUUGUGCUAUUUCCUGUUUAUGUGCCAUUUCUUUAUUACUAGUCUAUGCUACGUGCAAUGUACGAGCUGUGCAUGAAUUAUGGUUUAGUUAGCAUAUAUAUUGAAUAUAUUUGAAAAUUUAUGGGAAGAUGAAAUUAUUGGCAAGGAACUAACUAGCAAAUAAUUGAGAUAAUAGUAUACAUAUUGAUGUGCUUGAUUGUGAUUUGUAAAUUCAUCGUAGUUAAUCAUAUGUUUGGAUUAUAGUCAAUGAUAGAUAAGAGAGAAUAAAAAUAAACUUUAUUACCAUUGUUAAUUACAAAGUAUAGCCAAGAUAAACUAAAUAAUGACUGGUUUUUGGCAUGGACGAUGUAGGGAUUACAUUCCAUAUAUAUAAUUUGUCAUUACUUUUUGUUUGGCAACUUCUGAUCAGGAAAUUACACGUACUUAACAAAAUAAAAUUCCAAGACCAAAUUUACAAAAAAGACAAAUUUCAUAAAACGAAACAGCAUGCUCUUGUCAAGAGGUUGGUUUCACAGAAAAGAUUUCGACCACCAUUUAUUCCAAUUUUUCUUUUUGAGCAAAUGAAUUUGUGUCUGAACUUAUGUUUUCAUCACAAGCCACUUUCAAAUUGGAACUAUCAUUGGAAGAUCUGAAAAGGAUUUUUUUCGUUGGAGGUGACCAAUCUUCUUGAUAGUCUGUAUUAACAUUUUUCCAACUAUUGUAACCACAACUUGACUGUCAACCUUUGUUUGAAAUUUUGGUUCAAGACUUGUAUGGUCAAUAUUUGUUUGGAUUUCUUGUCUUGGACUUGCACAGUCUAAGUCUAUUACAGAGAUGAUAUCAAAUUUGUAACUUGAUGAAUUAGGUUAAUUUUGUGAUGCUUUUAAGUAGGAAGCUUGUUCAGUAUCCUGCAUUUUUUUAAUGAUUACUUCGAAGUUUUUCUUUGAACCCUGUGUGUUAAUUUUAAAUUGUAUUAAUAUUAUUUGAGUAAAAUAUGUAUUGAAUGACAAAAUGUUUGAGUUAGGUUGGAUUUCUUACGAAUUUGAUUUCCUCCAUCAGAGACUGUGAAGUUGUAAAUAAUAGUUUCUCAGCUAGUUCUCCAAUUUCAUUUGCACUGAGUGAUACUGUGACAUCUGAAAGCUGCACAUAUGUUCUAGCCCUAAAGUGAAUAAGAAAUCAGUGUUAGUAAAUGCAAGAGUAAUAAAGGGAAGUAGAAAGGUCAUGCAUAAGUAAAUAUUUUACCUGCACCAAAUGAAGUAAAAAAUGAAAAGUAAUUAAUUGUUAGUAUAUUUUACCGAGGAAUAACUUUGGAAUUGGGAUUCUUGCAAAAGAUACAAAGAUAUGUUUCUCUAAAAUCAACAUUCGAUUAUCUAAUACAGUUGUUGCAGGCCAUGUACCAAGAUUUACUAUCAAUUUUGUCUGUCGUUGCUGUGCGGUUUGUCCAAUAAAACUUUCGCUAUUACCAGUAUGGAUAUACUAAAGAAAUUACGAGGAAAAAUAAAUAAUAUGAUUGAGUCUAUCUUAUAAAAUAUAUAUCUCUAUAUAAGGAAAUAAAUAUAGGCUGAUUGAAUAGCACACGUAACCUUAACAUUACCGAUAGAAGGCGUCCCUGAAAAUUUUGAAUAGGAGUGAAUUUACUUCGCACAAGUGGAGAAAGAUUCGUGGGGCUUUUGUCUAUGUAUGAUUUUUUCAAUACAAAAUCAUCUAUUUUAAUGGAAUUUAUUCUUACCCUAAUCAAAAGACAUGGAGAUAAUUAGUAACUCCAAUAGUAAUGUGUAAAAAAAUAACUGAGAGGAAAGAAAAAAAAAUAAAAUAUAACACUUUGUACAUACCAUUCUGUCAAUUUUUUUACUAUGUUGAAAGGUGUAUCUAUGAAGAAAGUGGAAUGGACGUUCGUGGGCAAUUUUAAACCUAUAUAAUAUCAAUAUGGAGAAUGUGUAAAUGAUGUAACAUAUGCUUUAAGAGGAGUUUAAAUAAUACAAUAGAACAUACCAAAGAAUGAUGUAACUUUUAGACGGGUUGCAAAGAUGACCGACUUUUUAUCAAUAAUGUCUGCUAUGAGUAAGCAUUCUCUGUCAAAAAAUGAAUCCCAAAGUGUAAACAUCAUUGUUUUGAAACUCAUGUCUAAAAGUAUGAUAUCUUGCAACCAAAUUUGGCUACCAUUUUUGGAUUGAAUCAAUCGUUUGAGCGUUGUAUCAACUGCAACUACAAGUAUAUCUGGAAAUUUGAAAUGAGCUAUCAAAUUUUCUUUUUUCUGAACACAAAUAGUACAAAUUUGAAGGAAACUAUAUUUUUGUAGAAUCAGUAUAUGAUUAUUUAAAAUCUAUGAAAUUUUGUCUUACUUAAAUCAGCAUCUGUAUCCAUGUAUUGUUCAACUUCAUGAAACUAUGUCAAUUGAUAUCUUGAGAAUACAAACUCUAGUUUAUCUUCAUUCAGUUCUUCAAUACGAGUUUCUCCAGAUAUUGUCCAUUGUAAAGAGCCAAUCGAAUAUCUGUAGUUUAUCGUAUUGUUCUUCACAUAAGCUUUCGAAAUAGUAUAAGUUUUUCUCAAAACAAGUUGAAUUUCAAAAGCAAUGAUAUUGGAAUCAUAUAAGCUAGUCUGAAUAGUAUUACCCUGAAAAAUGAUGAGGAACCUUAUAAAUAACUAUAAUAUAUGUAAUCUUAGAUUAAGAAAAAAAACAAAACAAAAAACAAAAAGAAAUGAAGAAAAAAUGUAUGAAGAAGAGUUACCCGAGUAUCCAUUAACGUCAAAUGCUGGUACCUUCCAUUGUCUUGUCUCGAAAGUUUUGGUGAUUGUUUUUCAUCUACAAUCACCUUAACUUUCCAUUUUUGAUUGUUGGAAAUAAUUUCUAGUAGAAGCUGGUACUGUUCUUCCAUUGUGGCAAUUUUGCAACAGAAUAAUAGAGGCAAAAUAAACACAAAAGGAAGAUUUCUAUUGCAAACGCUUUUGAGAUAUCCAAUUGACAAAUAAAAGAAGAUAUAUAUAGACAUGUAAAAUUAUAUCAUAUUCGAUUUCUCGUACUUUAUCUUCUAUUCUUAAUUUUAUUUUAUUUAUAAAAAGUAAUACAGCUAUGUACUGCGUAAAAUCUUAUCAUUGCCAUAUACUGUCAUACCUUGUUGUCUGCAUGAGAUAUAGGGAUUACUUGUAAUAUUCAUUUACUAAUAGUACAGAAAUAGCAUGAGUUCAAGGAUUUACACUCAAAGCAAAAUAUGUAAAACUAUAUUUUAUUCGUUCUCCUUAUUAUAAAUUUAAUAAAAUGACAUCAAAAUUUUGACUAAAAAAGAAAAAGGAUCAGGAUGUACACGGUAAAAUCUUAUCAGACCCAUACUCUAUUGAUUCAUAAUGACUGAACAUGGUACAAGAAUGGCUCGAAAUUAAACGAAGUUGUAUUCACCGGGAAAAAGAAUUCAUGCUAUAAACCUUCAUUGUAAUGGAAGGAAAAUUUGAUUUAGUUAUUUAUUUAGCUUAAAUAAUUGAAUUAUAAAUAUCUAAAUACACGUGAAUAUGUUGAUGUAUGAUUUUGUGUAUGAAAUUGAAGAAUUCAAACAAAGAUGUAGAUUUGAGAUUGUAUAAAACGUGUGAAUAGUUUGUACUUCAUAACACAACAAAAAUAUUUCAUUGAAUAUUGACCAAAUGCAUAAAAUAACAAAAAUAUAUAGCUGACAUUUGACACCUUUUUAUCUUGUGGUUGGUAUAUAGCUCAUUUAUUAUUUAUCUAAAAAUUGAGUCCCAUAAGUCUAUACAUUUAGCAAGAGAAACCACCCACAGAUUUAAACAGGAGAAGCUGUGAAAUUGAUCGCAAAAGGUAACAAUUUUACCUAAAAAUUUACAAUGGAAGAAAUUUACACAUAUCUGCACAGAUCUAUGUGUAUGGGUAACAAUUUUACCCAUAAGGCCUUCGUGAUUAUGGAGGCCAUAUGGAGGCUUGGGCCUCCGUAAUACGGAGGCUUGGCCUCCAAGGCCUCUAUAUUAUGGAUAUAGUGGUUCCUAUACUUAAUUUCAUGUCACAAAUUGUCUGGAUUGUCCAGACACGGAGGUAAGAUAUUUUAUUUUCGAUUUUACAAUAUUUAUGCAUGUAUAGGCUAUGAAGAUCUAAUGUUUAUUUCGAACUCUUAAUAAAAGUUUCUUUGUUUUUAAUUAUUAGAUUCAUUCAUAAAUAUGAUAUGAUUUUUUGAAUAAUUUAUACAGAUGUCUCUAGAAUACAUAAUUUUUCCAGACCAAUGGUUUUCUGCUACAAUUAUCUAGUAUCCAGAUUUCGAAUAUAUUAAAGACUUUAUAUAGAUUCGAAUCAGCAAUCUUCGUUGAUAUGCAGUAAUUUUUAUGGAUUUCUUUAUGGAGUUUUCUGCAAAUGAAAAAAUGUACAAUUUAGUAGUAGGUUAGUGUAUGAAUUUAUAUUGAGGCUUGUGAAUUGUGGGAAAAAUGAUGAAAUUUGGGUAAGGUUAGACGAUCGUGUAGCUAAGUUUGGUAUGCAAGAAUUUUAUCUUAUACCUGGAUUACCUUGCCAUGAACUAUCUAUGGACAUUGAUGAUACAAAUGAUCAUCUUAGAAAUCAGUACUUUAAUAAUAAAAAAUAAAUCAGUAUGAGAAUGAUUUUUGAAGCAUUCCAUGCGUGCGAACAUGAAGAAGAUAAAUUGAAGCUUGGUUUAGUUGUGUUGGUCGAAUGUGUGUUAACACUCACUGCAAGACAAAUUGAUUAUAGAACUCUUGACAUGGUUAAGCAUCUAGAUGAGUUUCUUGCAUAUCCAUGGGGUCACAAAGCAUAUUUGAUCUUGUUGUAUUCAUUGAAAGCAUCACAAUUUGAAAGACUGCAAAGGAUGCAACAGAAUGAACAAACAGAAUGCAAGUAUUCAUUACAUGGGUAUCCACUUACAUUCCAAGUAAUUAGUCCAUAUUCUUGUAUUGACUUAUUAUGUAUAAUUUAUUCCCAUAAAAUUUUUUUAUACAUAUAAUAUUUAUUUUUAAUUAUCUUGCAGUAUUGGAUAUAUGAAGCAUUUUCAAAGAUCGAAAAGAAAUUUGAACGUCGUAGACAUAAAACACCACAGAGUCCAAGAAUGUACAAGUGGAAACCCAACCAAUUUGUAACUAAAAAAAGAGAUAAAGGAUUUUUUGUCUACUCUUAAUGUAUGUUUUUAUGAAUGUAGAAUUACUCUCACAUUCAAUUAUCUUAAAAUUAAAUUAAACUCAAAAUAAACGAUUUUGGUAUUUUAUUUUGAUUACAGAUUCAAGUGAUUGCUGUGCUAUAGCCUAAUGAAGAAGAAUUACAAAUUCCUUGGUACAGAACUUUUUCAUUGCCAAUGGACAAUGGACAUAAUAGAUUAGAUAAGAUUGUAAAUGGAGCAUUGGAUAAUGCAAUACAACAAAUCCCAGAUAAUAUAUAUGUGCAAGAAACGACGAUUCCCAGUACUUCUACAUCUUCACCUGUAUUUGGGUCUAGCUCUGUUCCAAAUGGCUCCAACUCCCUAAGUGAAGAUAAAAUGGAAGAAUUGUUGGGUAUCUACAGGCAACACAUAGCAUUAGACGUGUUUGGUGUAUAUAGCAAUUUGAAGGUAGAAUAUGCUGAAAAAUCAAGAGCUCACUACCAUGCGGUUCUUGAAAACCAAAAAUAGUUAUUUGAGGAACAAAAAAAAAAUGGCAAGAAGAUUGCAUGCAACAUCAUUUGACAUUUAAGUAAUUUUUCUAGUAAUUCAUUUCCAAUGCAAACUAAUCUAUUUAUUAAGUAUUUAUUAAAAUUUUAACAUUUAAGUAUUUUUCGACUUGCGGUAAUGGAACUAAAAAUUGUUUGUUUAGAUAGUCUGGGAACUCAAUCAAUUGAAUUGCACGUAUGAUUUUCCACAAAUAAAUGUCCAAAAAUUUAUUUCAAGAGAAUAUGAUAUCUUGAUGUAACAUAUAACGGUUAUAUUUUCUCAUUUUUAUGAUCAAAGAAUGAAAAACAAACGGUAGUUAAAUAUAUUUUUAAUUUUCAAUUUUUGAUUAAAUAAAAUUGAAAUUUUCAAUAAUAUCAAAGAGAACCGUACGUUAAUGUUGAAGAGAACCGCACGUUCGGUUUUUUUUUCUCUUUUUUUUAAAACACAUUUAUGGUCAAAGAAUGGAAAACAAACGGUGGUUAAAUAUAUUUGUAAUUUUUCAUUUUUGAUUAAAUAAAAUUGAAAUUUUCAAAAAUAACAAAGAGAACCGCACGUAUGGUUCUCUUUUUUCCUGUUUUUUCAAACAUAAUUUUCCGCUUAAAAUUUUCUAAUAAUUCAUUUCCAAUGUAAGCUAAUUUAUUUAUUAAGUAUUUAUUAAAAUUUUAACAUUUAAGUAUUUUUCGACUUGCGGUCAUGUAAAUAAGAAUUAUUUAUUUAGAUAGUCUGGGAACUCAAUCAAUUCAAUCGCACGUACGGCUAACCCAUAUUCACUUUUCCACAAAUAAUGUCCAAAUAUUUAUUUCAAGAGAAUAUGAUGUCUAGAUGUAAUAUAUAACGAUUAUAUUUUUUCAUUUUUAUGGCCAAAGAAUAGAAAACAAAUGGUGGUUAAAUAUAUUUUUUAAUUUUUCAUUUUUGAUUAAAUAAAAUUGAAAUUUUCAAAAAUAUCAAAGAGAACCGCACGUAGAGUUCUCUAUUUUCCAUUUUUCUUUAUUUUAAAAUGUUAACGAGAAUCGCACGUAGGAUUCUCUUUUUUUCCAUUAUUUUUUAAACACAUUUUUCCGUUGAUAAAUUUCUAAUAAUUCAUUUCCAAUGCAAACUAAUUUAUUUAUUAAAAUUUUAACAUUUAAGUAUUUUUCGACUUGCGGUAAUGAAAUUAAGAAUUAUUUAUUUAGAUAGUCUGGGAACUCAAUCAAUUGAAUUGCACGUACGGUUAACCCAUAUUCAUUUUUUCACAAAUAAAUGUCCAAAAAUUUAUUUCAAGAGAAUACGAUGUCUUGAUAUAAUAUAAAACGAUUAUAUUUUUUUUCAUUUUUAUGAUCAAAGAAUGGAAAACAAACGGUGGUUAAACAUAUUUGUAAUUUUUUAUUUUUGAUUAAAUAAUAUUGAAAUUUUCAAAAAUAUCAAAGAGAACCGCACGUAGGGUUCUUUAUUUUUCAUUUUACUUUAUUUUAAAAUGUUAACGAGAACCACAUGUAGGGUUCUCUUUUUUCCAUUUUUUUUCAAACACAUUUUUUUGCUGAUAAAUUUCUAAUAAUUCAUUUCCAAUGCAAACUAAUUUAUUUAUUAAGUAUUUAUUAAAAUUUUAACAUUUAAGUAUUUUUCGACUUGCGGUCAUGAAAAUAAGCAUUGUUUAUUUAGAUAGUUUGGGAACUCUAUCAAUUGGAUCGCACGUAUGGUUAAUUCAUAUUCAUUUUUUCACAAAUAAAUUUCCAAAAAUUUAUUUCAAGAGAAUAUGAUGUCUUGAUGUAACAUAUAACGGUUAUAUUUUUUCAUUUUUAUAGUCAAAGAAUGAAAAACAAACGGUGGUUAAAUAUAUUUGUAAUUUUCCAUUUUUGAUUAAAUAAAAUUGAAAAUUUCAAAAAUAUCAAAGAGAACCGCACGUAGGGUUCUCUUUUUUUCAUUUUUUUUCAAACACAUUUUUUCACGGAUAAAUUUCUAAUAAUUCAUUUCCGGUGCAAACUAAUUUAUUUAUUAAGUAAUUAUUAAAAUUUUAACAUUUAAGUAUUUUUCGAUUUGCGGUUAUGGAAAUAAAAAUUGUUUAUUUAGAUAGUCUGGGAACUCAAUCAAUUGAAUUGCACGUACGGUUAACCCAUAUUCAUUUUUCCACAAAUAAAUGUCUAAAAAUUUAUUUCAAGAGAUUUUGAUGUCUUGAUGUAACCUAUAAUUGUUGUAUUUUUUCAUUUUUAUGGUCAAAGAAUGGCAAACAAACGGUGGUUAAAUAUAUUUGUAAUUUUCCAUUUUUGGUUAAAUAAAAUUGAAAAUUUCAAAAAUAUCAAAGAGAACCGCACGUAGGGUUCUCUUUUUUCCAUUUUCUUUCAAACACAUUUUUCCGCUGUUAAAUUUCUAAUAAUUCAUUUCCAAUGCAGACUAAUUUAUUUAUUAAGUAUUUAUUAAAAUUUUAACAUUUAAGUAUUUUUCGACUUGCGGUCAUGAAAAUAACAAUUGUUUAAUUAGAUAGUCUGGGAACUCAAUCAAUUGAAUUGCACGUACGAUUGACCCAUAUACAUUUUUCCACAAAUAAAUGUCCAAAAAUUUAUUUCAAAAAAAUAUGAUAUCUUGAUGUAACAUAUAUCGGUUAUAUUUUUUCAUUUUUAUGGUCAAAGAAUGGAAAACAAAUGGUGGUUAAAUAUAUUUGUAAUUUUCUAUUUUUGAUUAAAUAAAAUUGAAAAUUUCAAAGAUAUCAAAGAGAACCGCACGUAUAGUUCUCUCUUUUCCAUUUCUUUAUAAGGACCAGAUCGUUGAUUCGAAAUGACCACUUCUUCAACUUUGAGUUGAAGUACUUCAUCAUCUUUCUUUCAUAUGUGGCAAGCUUCAGCUGAGUGUCAUCUCUUCUUUCCUCAAUGAUGUCGAGGUCGUACCUCCGAAGCUCGUCGUUUGUUAUUUCACUGAAGUGCAGAUGUUGUGGAGAUGGAAGUCCGAUCUCGACGGGGCUUAUCGCCUCAGUUCUGUAUGCCAUGAGGAAAGGUGUUUCCCUUGUGGAAGUCGUCGUAGUGGUUCGGAUUGUCCAAAGCGGUUGUGGUAGCUCAUCCACCUAGGCCCCUUUUGACACAUCAAGCUGCCUUUUCAGGACGUGUUUGAUGGUCUUUUUCACAGCCUCAAUCUGGCCAUUUGCUUGUGGGUGGUGAGGUGUGGAGAAGUGCUUCUUGAUGUCAAGUUCUUCAUACAAACUUCUGACCUUCUUGUUGUCGAACUGUUUACCAUUGUCUGAGAUGAUUGAGUAGGGAAUCCCGAACUAGCAUAUAAUGUUCUUCCACAAGAACUUGGAAGUGUUUGAUUUUGCGAUUUUUCCCAAUGGUUCAGCCUCAACCCACUUCGUGGAGUAAUCAAUGGCCAUUAAUGUAAAGUUCGCGCUUCAUCUGCCUUUCGGUAGAGGACCUAUGAGGUCCACACCCCACUUCAAGAAGGGCCAGGGGUUGGAGACCGUGGUCAAAUCUUGUGAUAGUUGUCUUUCGAAAGGAGAGAAUCGUUAGCAUUUGUCACAUUUUCGUACAAAUUGGAGAGCGUCAUUUUUCAAGGUAGGCCAAUAGUACCACUGUCUCAGUAUUUUUUGCGCUAAAGAUAGACCUCCAGAGUGAUUACCAUAAACACCCUUGUGGUCUUCCCUUAAAAUGUUGGUAGCCACUUCUCCUCCUCCCACGCAUCGAAGGAGUGGAGAGGAAAAGCUCCUCUUGUAAAGUGCAUCAUCAAUGAAGAGGAAAUGAGCUGACCUCCUCCUUAGCUUGUAAGCUUCAUGCUUGUUAGUGGGAAGUACCUGGUCGGGAAGUACCUGGUCCUUUAGGUAGGCUACGAUGGGCUACAUCCAGGUAGGAGUCUCGGCCACCCACAUCACAUUAGAGGCCUCGGUUGAUAGUAUAAGGAGGUGCUCUAUUGGGACUACUGUAAGUAGUUCGGAGUCAUUGCUACUUGCAAGUUUGGAGAGUGCAUCCGCAUGUGCAUUUUCAAAGCGGGGGAUCUAGAUCAACUCAAACUUUUCAAAGGAUGGGAUGAGGUUCAUCACCAUUUUCAAGUAGGAGGCCAUGGUUUUGUCUCUGGCCGAGAAGUUGCCGUUCACCUGGCUAACGACCAGUUGGGAGUCACUACUGAUAAGUAGCCUCUUCACUUGCAUUUCUCUGGCUAAUCUGAGGCCCGCAAGAAGCGUCUCGUAUUCUGCCACAUUAUUGGUGGCCUUGAGCUGAGUUCAACUUGUGACCUUCCGGGCCAAUGAAGACAACUUCGGCACUUGACCUGGUAUCCCCAGCCGAUCCAUCCACGAAUAAGUUCUACGUAGGGGGCUCAGCAUGUUCCAUGAUUUCAUCCACCUUGGGUAAAUUGGCAAAUUCUGCCACAAAAUUAGUCAAGGCUUGGCCCUUGAUGGCCGUCCUAGUCUUGAACACGAGGUCAAAUUUACUUAGCUCGACCGCCCAUUUCAAUAAUCUUCCUGAGGCAUCGGGCUUUUGGAGUACCAGCCUCAGGGGAAAGUUUGUUAGCACAUGUAUGGUGUGGGCUUGGAAAUAGGGCCUCAAUUUCCUGGAAGCCAUGAUCAAGGCCAAAGUGAGCUUCUCCAUAUCGGGGUAAUGGGUUUUCGACGAUAGGAGUGCUUUACUUAUAUAGUAUACGGGGAAUUGGGUGGUGCCCUCUUCUCAGAUUAGAACCGCACUGGAAGGCUCUCCACAUUCCUCGGUCCAUCGGAACUUCUUCCCAACUUUCAACACUUUGAAAAAUGGGAGGCAUUUGUCUGUAGCUUUGGAGACAAAGCGACUAAGUGCGACCACUCGCCCAGUUAAGCUUUGUACCUCAUUUGGCUUUUGGAGGGACCUCAUCUUGCAUAGGGCCUCAAUCUUAUCAGGGUUGUCUUCAAUUCCGCGUUAGUUGACCAUGUAUCCUAAGAAUUUUUUGGAGGCAACCCCGAAAGUGCACUUGAGGGGGUUGAGCCUCAUCCUAUAGCUUCUCAAGAUUUGGAAGGUAUUGUUGAGGUGCGUUAUGUGGUCCUCAGCUUCCAAACUUUUAACAAGGAUGUCGUCUAUGUAGACCUCCAUUAUCUUGUCGACGUGGUCCACAAACAUUUUGUUGACGAGUCUUUGAUAUGUGGCCUCGACGUUUUUCAACUCGAAGGGCAUCAUCUUAUAAUAGUAAAGGCCUCUGUCUAUGAUAAAAGAGGCGUGUUCCUCAUCGGCCGGGUGCAUGGAAAUUUGGUUGUGGCCAAAGUAUGCGUCCAUAAAGCUCAACAACUCGUGCCCAGCCGUGGAGUUUACCAGUUGAUGAAUCCUUGAGAGCGGAAAGCUAUCCUUCGGGUAAGCUUGGUUGAGGUUAGUGAAAUAAAUACAUACUCUCCAUUUUUCGUUGUGUUUCUUCACUAAAAUCGGGUUGGAGACCCACCUCGGAUAGGUGGUCUCCCUGAUAAAGUCAUUUCGGAUGAGCUUAUGAACUUCUUCCUUCAGGGCCUCAUACCUCUCAGGGUUGAGAAAUCUUCUCUUUUGUUUGUACGGGGCAACCUUAGGAUCAAUUUUCAAGUGAUGGCAACUGACUUUGGGGUCUAUGCCUACCAUGUCCUCAUGCCUCCAAACAAAGACAUCAAGGUUCCUACUUAGGAAAUCCUUGAUCUUUUCUUUCAAAAUGUUGGACAAGCCUUUGCCCACUUUCAACAAUUUGGAUGGGUCUCGGGGGUCCACCGAGAAGCUCUCAAGUUCCUCAACUGGGGAUGCUUGAGGUUCGUGUUCAAUUAUGCGGAGGUCAAUCUCAUCGAUAUCAAUACUUUCGGAAUGGAUGGUGCGUCGAUCAUUUCCACAUCUUCCAGUUUUGAGGGAGCAUCACCUGGGACAUCAGCCAUGACUAUGUCAACGAUAAUCACAUGGACUUCCCGUGGCUCUACCUUUCUGAUGGAGCUUAGAUAAUACUCUCUCGAGCCUCUUUGGUCCCCUCUCACCGUUGCCACCCUGUUUUCCGUUGGGAAUUUCAUGCAUAGGUGGUGGAUGGAGGUGACAGCUCCCAAUUCCUUUAGAGCUAGCCUACCCAAUACUCCAUGGUAGGCCAAUCGACUGUAAACAAUGAGGAACUCUAUGAAGUUCAUUGUAGUUUGGGGAGACUCCCCCAUCUCCACUGCAAUGGUGAUCUUUCCUCUCGGAGUGAUACUAUCUCAGAUAAAUCCGUACAAGGGAGUGGAGGUGGGCAUCAACUCAUGGUCCAGUAUCAUCUUAUCGAAGGUAGACCCGAAUAAAAUGUUAACAAAGCUAUCGUUGUCAACUAACAUUCGUUUGAGCCCAUUUCAGGCUAUGACCGCUCUCACUACAAGUGCAUCGUAGUGAGGGUAGUGAACUCCUUCAGAGUCCUCCUGGGUGAAGAUAAUAGGUAGAACUUGAUUCCUCCGGGAGCUGUGGUCCACAAUAUAGCUGGUCAGUGGGGGUGCUUAGCCUCACGAGCGUAAUUCUUUUUAGCGUUCCACGUUUCACCACCCACAUAUAGGCCUCCAAAUAUGGUAUCCACCUCAUGGAUAGGGGCCCCAUCCUGAGUUUGCCAUUUUCUUCUAUGUCCGCCCCCUUCUCUGGGCCUUUCUGCAUCGUGCUCCCUUCAUCGCGAAAAAUAUCCCUUUGAUAGGGAGCAGCCUUUUCAUGCUCAGGUCGGUUGUCAUACCUAGGUGGGGACCUGUUCGCUUGGGCCGAUUCAUUUCUAUCCCUGGGGGUUCUUGCUGGGUACGGUGAGCAUAGUCUCGACGAUUUGCUAUGUCGUGGCCAUAGGACUAAUGGUAUAUGCAGUAUCAGGGGAGGUUCGGAUUUGACCUAUUUCUAGGUUUAGAACCCUGGCUUAGGCCUUUCCCCCUGCGGGAUCCUUACGGAGUUCCCAUCCGCUGGUGUCAGUGACUGGGUUGAUAUCCUCAUAUGCCAAGGUCGGAAUUGCGUUCAGAUUGGCGGUGGCAAGUGCUUGCGCAAAACUCUCAUUACCGGCUUGCUUCAUUUGGUAAUCUAUCAAGUGGGAGGUCAGCCUUCUAGCACGCUGUCUUUGUGGAGGUGGGAGGCUUCUACUUGCCCUGUUUCUAUGCUCAAUUAAUUCUUCAUUGAUGAUCUCCCAUCUCAUCAUCUCGAGUAGGACGUCAUAGGUGGUGGGGUCUUGAUUUUGCACAUCCCUCCAAAAUAGGGUGUUCAUGUUCAGGCCUCUUCUCAGUGUAGAUAAUGCCUCACGGUAGGUGACUUCCACACAGUACGUCAUCUCAUAGGGAUGUCAAUUGGGUCGAUCCGGCUCGCGGCUUUUCGGCUCGGCUCGGCUCGGCUCGGCUCGUGGGCUGCUCGAGCUCGUCGAGCUAGAGCCGAGCAGGGGGUCACGUUCAACGAGCCAAACGGCUUGUGCACCGAGCUCACGAGCCGAGCCCACGAGCCGGCUCGUCCAAAAAAAUGGAAAAAAUUAAAAUUUUAUCAAUAAAAUUUAAAAAAUUUGCAAAAAAAAAAUAAUUAAAAAUAAAAAUUCACGAGCUCGCGAGCCGCUUGUGGGCUCGGCUCGACUCGGCCUGGCCCACAAGCUCGUGGCUCGUGAGUACACGAGCUCGUGGGCCGAGCCGAGCUCGCCCACAAGCAACGAGCCGAGCCCGAGCUCAGCUCGUGAGAAACGAGCCACGAGCCACGAGCCCGAGCCGAGCCGGCUCGACUCGGCCCACUGCCACCCCUAUCAUUUCAUCAAUGAAGCAUGAUAGGAAGCUCUUCAGGGACUCCCCAUAUGCCUGUCUCAUAACUUUGAGACGUUGGACGAGAGCCUCUCCCUCUUUGCUCACAGCGAACCUCUUCAAGAAUGUGGUCUUGAAUUCGGGCCAACUUCUUAUACUCUCAGAUGGUAACCUACUAUACCAAAUUUCAGCUGCUCCGUUAAGUGUUAAGUGAAAAGCUCUGCACUUCACAACUAGGGUGGCGCCCCUUAGGCUCAUGUGAGUUUUGUAAGCAUUCAGGUGCUUUUCUGGGUCGCCUCUUCCAUCAUACUUUGGUAUCUUGGGCAAACGUAGUGGUCAGGGACGUGGGCACUCCUUAGUUCCCUUGAGAAUGAUAGGUUUUCAUCAUCAUCAUCCAAGUCACAGGACCUCUGCCACUCAUCUGAAUCAUUUUCAUCAACCUCAUACCUUGGUGGUUGGUGAGAGGUGUCAAGACUAUUCCUAGCCUCCUUUUCCCUCCUUUGGUGCCUAUUUCUAGGCGGUGCAGCACGGAGGGCAUUUUCAUGCCUUUCUUCCGGCUGCUGAGGCAUUGGAGGUGGGGACUGUAGCCUUGUCCAAGGCUCGUGAGGCUAUUGUCGCCUAGGUCUCAGUUAUGCAGGACUGAUUCUGUCAAAUACAUUACCUGACCUCCUAUGUCUUCGCUCUUGCUCAUAUAGAGGUGGAAAAUUAUCAUGGUUCAAAGGGACCUUGGUGGGUCACCGAGAAGCAUAGUUGGAAAAAACAUCAAUUUCCAUUUCCCUUUCAAAUGGGCUUCUACCUCGACUAUAGUCCGGCGAGGCAACCCUCUGACUUUGAAUUUCAUCUUCUUGCUGGUGUGCCCUUGGGGGGCGUAUGGAGGAAUAGGGAAGCCUCACUGACCUUGCAUUUGGGCCAUGAGUUCCCUCAUAGCCAUGUUCUAGCUAGCAAUGUCCCUCAUGUUGGCUGCCAUGGCGGCCAUUUCUCUUGGUAGCCAGGUUAUCACUCGCAUUCCACCUCUUCUAUGGUGGUGGUGGAGUCGGUGCCGAGCUGCUGGGGCAGCUGCUGGAGGAGGCACAUCUGCGUUUUCUCUUACCCUCCUAGGGUGUAUCUUCGUUUGAACUCAUUUUCUUUGUUUGACCUUCAGAUUUUUGUGAAGUAGUAGGGCUUCCUCUUGUUCUUUUUCAAGAACAAAUCAUUUUUUAAGGGGGAUGCCCAAAUGUUCCUCUUCAAUAAGCUUUCACCACAAGGUUGUUCAAGGUUAUUAUAUGGAUUCCCAUAGACGAUGCAAUCUGUUGACCCAAAAAAUGUUUCCAACAGAUGUCGGACCCAUCCGUGCACACGUGAGCGAAAGUCCAACAUGCUAAGACACGUGGAUGGUCUAAAACGGACAGAUCAAGGGCGUAGGAGUAGCUCAACGGCACGGGACGAGAACGUUCGAAAUCCGACGGGAUGUUCGUAGAUCGAUUGUACAAUAAUUACCAAUUGAUGUUUGUAAAUGUGUAUCUAAAUAUGUAUGAACUCGUUUGUGUUGCAAGAUAAUAAGAAAGAGAGAGUUGAGUAAAGUAUGGUUUAUUGUAUUGAUUCUUGCAUUAGCCUUUGUAUGGGGUACAUGGGGGAGUAUUUAUUGUUGACCCCAAAAAAUGUUGCCAACAGAUGUCGGACCCACCUGUGCACACUUGAGCGAAAGUCCAACACGCUAAGACGCAUGGACGAUCUAAAACGGACAGAUCAAGGGCGUGAAAGUAGCUCAACUGUGCGGGAUGAGAACGUUCGGAAUCCGACGGGAUGUUCGUAGAUCGAUUGUACAAUAAUUACCAAUCGAUGUUUGUAAAUGUGUAUCUAAAUAUGUAUGAACUCAUUUGUGUUGCAAGAUAAUAAGAAAAGAGAGUUGAGUAAAGUAUGGUUUAUUGAUUGAUUCUUACAUUAGCCUUUGUAUGGUAGUAUUUAUAGCGUCACAAGUUAGAUCGUGGCCUUAGGUUUGGAGUACACGUGGCUUCAUCCGGUUAAUUUACAUGUCAAAUUGUAGGCAUCAGCCGCACCUAGCCUGCUAUACAUUUAUUGAUUUGCACAGCCGCCUUUACUAGUGACAAGACUUAACAUUUACACUCAUGACAAACGUCCUAUCAAUCAUUCAAGUAAGAUCUUUGUGCAGAGGAUCUCUUAGGAGAAAUGUCUAUGGAAGAUGCUACUUUGCGACUUGGAGGCUGCUACCUCGGCUACAGAGCUUCGCCCAAUAGGGCCUCGUCCACCUUCAAAGGACCUCGGCAUAUGUGCUUCGGAAGCUCCUCAAGAGGCAAUGAUAGAUGGACCUCGGUAUAUAUGGGCCUAGGCUUCUGUGAACCUUGAUUUGUGGGCCUCGGCUAUGCAAAUCACCUUGACUUGAGUACCACAUAGUUCGGCAUGAGUUAGCUGUGGGCCCCGGUGGGUUGUCCAAGUGUGCAAACACGUAACAUUUAUAAUGUCACAAGUUAGAUCGUGACCUUUGGUUCGGGGUACACGUGGCCUCAUCAAUUAAUUUACAUGUCAAAUUGUAGGCAUCAGCCGCACCUAGCCUGCUAUACAUUUAUUGAUUGGCAGAGCCGCCUCUACUAGUGACAAAGCUUAACAUUUACACUCAUGAAGACGUCGUAUCAAUCAUUUAAGUAAGAUCUUUGUACAGAGGAUUUCUUGGGAGAAGUGUCUAUAGAAGAUGCUGCUUUGUGAUUCGGAGGCUGCUAUCUCGGCUACAGAACUUCUGCCAACAAGGCCUCGUCCACCUUCAAAGGACCUCGGCAUAUGGGCUUCGAAAGCUCCUCAAGAGGUAAUGAUAUAUGGGCCUAGGCUUCUGUGAACCUCGAUUUGUGGGCCCCGGCUAUGCAAAUCACCUCGACUUGAGUGCCACGUGGUUCGGCAUGAGUUGGCUGUGGGCCCGGUGGGUUGCCCAAAUGUGCAAACACAUAACACUAUAGAUAAAUAUACUGAAAAUGAAAUUCUAAAAUUGUGCUCUUAUCCGCAAAUCGUGGUUCUCAUGCAAGUCUUGCUACCAAGUAUGAUUUGAUUAAGUGCUUGUUUGGUAGGGAUUUUGUUAAUUGAUUUUUUGAUCGUUAGAGAUAAAGUGGGUCCUACCUAUGAAAGAAGAAUUCAAAAAUGACGGCUGGAAUAGUGAAAUAAUGGUAAAAAAAUUGAUUUUAAUUGACUUUUAAUCACUACCAAACAUGCUCUAAGUCAAAUCCUUGGAUUAAUUAGUAAAUUUUAUAUACUUUUAUAACAUUAUAUUCAAAGUAGGAGUUUCUUGGAUCAAUCCUCAUCAUGCUACCUAGUAUAAGUAAUUAUGUUAAAGACUUAAAUCUCUAUUUCUUUAUAAGUGAUUAAGUGAGACUUCAACAAUGGUUCUAAUUACCAAAUUAACCCUACGACCGCUAUAUAUAUCAUUCAUCAUUUACUCUUCCUCACAAGCAAUAAAAAUCUCACAACAUACAUAUACAGUACUAGAAAUGGCUAAAUCUCAAGUUUCCUACACCAUUUUCUUUGCCCUUCUCAUCUGCUUCCUCCUUGUAGCAUCCAAUGGUAAAAAAACCUUUGUUUGUUUAUUUCAAAAUAAAUUUUGUUACAAUUUUUACUGAGCAAGACAUGUUUAGUAGCAGGCAGCAAAUGCACAUUAAGCGCUUCAUUAAUAUAGUUUUUUUUUUCCCUUUUAGGGACGAAUAUUUGACAUCACUUCAACGUAGAAAAGGAGGUUAAAAUUUAUACUAUGUAGGCGUGUUCAGUAUCGAGCCCUUGUGUGGCUCCUUUUUUAAAAAAAUGCAUUUCGUUCAAAACUUUUACGUAAAAUAAUGGUACAUAUAAACUCAAAAUUUUUAUUUACACAUUCUCCAAAAAGUUACUAUUUUAAAACACAUUUUACUCCAAAAUCUCAUUUUAAUGGAGCAUAAACAUGGGCCGACUUUGCAAUGAUAAUUGAAGCACUUUUUUUGUGCUAAGAAAACAAGAUGACAUAAUUCCAGCAUGCCUUCAAGCAACUCAAAUGUUGGUAAAUAAACUUCACUAAUAUAUAUACCUUCUUUUGUUUCUCUCUCUAUAUAAAUAUAUAUGCAGAGAUGCAGAUGGCUGAAGCUAAAGUUUGUUCGAGGCUGAGCAAGACAUGGUCUGGAUUAUGCCUGAACUCCGGAAACUGCAACCAGCAGUGCAGGAACUGGGAGGGGGCUCUGCAUGGAGCUUGUCACAAAAGGGGCUGGGGAUUCGCUUGCUUUUGCUACCUGAAAUGCUGAGAUUAAUCAUGUCAACAUGCUGUCUUCUUAAUCACAUGAAUGAAUAAAUAGUUGCUAUUCGGUCAGCAACUAUAUAUGUAUCGAAAUCACUGAAGUACCAAUGUGUCUGUGUUUGUGUCUGUUACUACUUAAGGCCUUCAGCUUCAUAAUAUAAUUAUCAAUAUUAACAACCAGGAUUUAGUGUUCGAAUGUUUGAUUUAGCCACAAACUGCAAAAUACUAAUGAUCCGCAAGACUGUAUAGAUUUGCAUAGGACAUUAACUUAAUUGGGAGCGCUUAUUUUUCACAAAUAAUUGAUUUUUUGACCAUUGAAAUGGGCCCACUUCUGUCACAUCUUACACGCCCACUAUAAUUGACAAGUAAAAUUUGAUUGCACUUUGCCAACUGCCAUUUUUGCCAUUCAUUGCUGGGCAAAUAUAAAAUCACUAAGGAACAAUCGUGUCAUUUUGCUAGAAAUGUAGAGGGUAAAACAGUCCCAUAAAUAAAAUGCACUCAUAUCCUACUACACCAAUCAAAUGGUCACUGCAUUUAGUGAAUUAUUUUAUUAAGAAAAUUUUGACCAAUCUAUCAAAAUCUGAUAGAAUUGGAAUUAAAAACGCUCCCUAGACACAGGCAUAAUAUGUAUAUAUAUGUGUUUGCUGUGUGGAUGUGUACUUAUAUGCAUUGAAUUCAGUUAAGUCUAAUUAAAAUGAUCUAAUAAGACUUUGAUUUUGAGAUUUAAUGUAUCCAAUUAAAGUAUGGGUUUAUAAAUGUGUAGAAACAGGGCUCAAGUUCUAAUUCUAUGAUGAGCCGAAUUAGGUCAAAGGUCAUCGCUAUAUAAAUAUGGUUAUGGUCCCCAGAUCACACGUACGUAUUAUUCAUUCUCUUCUGCAUCUCAUCACAAAAAGAAAAAGGAGACUGCGUAUAGAUUUGGAAGACAAGACCGCAUAAUUCAUUAUUGCAUUAAUCAUGUCUGAUUCAGGUACGCUUCCACCAUAGUUCUUCAAUUUCUUGAUGAUUUAAUAUGAAAGAUCAGGUGAUUUAAAGCAAUAAAUUAUUCUUACAUAAACAAGAACUUUGUGUUUGUGUAUGUAUACAUGUAUUUACAGAUUAUCUACUCUCUAUUUAAGGAUCCUCCAUUUUAGCUCUCCAAUAUUCUAACUUGAUAAGAAUUACUAUGGGUAAAUAAUUAAGCGAGAAAAGUAAAAGUUGAAGGUUUCCAUUGAUCUAAGAGAGUGCAUGAGCCUGUGAACAAAAUGUACGAGUUAAAUAAACAUAAUUUAUGCAAGUCACAAAAUAUCGUGUGUCUGCAUGUGCAUAUUCAAGCAGUCCACUAGACUUCAAGAAAAGUCAAGAAAAAAGAGACUGGUACGUUGAAGGAUGCUCAAUCGUGCUCCUGAUCAAAUUAAAGUCAUAUACAUAUUCGACCAUAAUGUGAUGCGAUAGAUCUAUCUAAAGAGAUGCCAAAAUGGUGUAUGGAUUGAUUCCAUCUGAUUGAGACCUAUACUCAAACAAUGUCAAAGUCUAAUUAUCACCCCAAAUCUCAUUUAAUGCGGCCUUAGGGGAAUGUUUAAUGCAAAGCUCAUGUAUGAAUGAGCUAGGUUGCACAUAAACUUCUAAAAUGAUAGCUGGUGUAUCUCAUUAGAUGGAACGAGGAUGGAAAAUAACUUAAGAAGAAAUGAAAAUUUCGAAGGUUUCCACUGAUCUAAGAAAUGCAUGAGCCAAUGACAAAAUUGUGCGAGUUAAACAAAUAUACGUAUAUCCGUCACAAAUUGAGCCACCUACAAGAAAAUUCAAGUGAUUCACUAGUCAAGGAAAAAGAGGCCUCAAGGCUGCUCCCAAUCAAAGUUAUACUCGACCACAAUAUUAUGCUAUACAUCUAGUAGAUAUGCCAAAAUGACAUUUGUAUCGAGUCUAUGUCAUGAGACUAUACUCUACUCAACUCACGUCAAAGUCUAAUAUCAAUUCAAAUCUCAUUAAUUCAACAUGUUGGCUACAAUAUAUUUAAUGAUAAGUAGAGUCUCGACUCAAUCUUCGUGGAGAGGGAGAGAGAGAGAGAUGCCAAUAUCAUGGUUUGGACGGAAAGUGGUAUUUGCAAAAGAAUUUUCAUCUGCCAAGAUGUUAUGAGCAUCUGUGUAGAUACUUUUCCAUAACCAAAUUUGGCCCUUUGAGUGACUUGAAAGUUCUAUUGGCCCUUCAAAAAAGUUUCUUUGAAUUAGGGCAGAAGAGAAUAUCACUAGAGUGCGCAUUAAAAUCUCAACCUAUAAAUACACAUAUAUAGAGUGGGUAAAGAGCAACACAUGAAGCAAGUACUCCCCUUCAUAUUUCUUGAUGAUUUUGUCUAAGAAUCUUGCAUGAAUAAGUAGGGAGUGGAUUGCAGCCAAGGAUGACUUGCCGACAUUUCCAUCUCUUUGUAGAAACAUCGCUCGUUGUUCUUGAUCGGCAAGUUGUCUUUGGCUACAUUUUGCUCCCUUCUUCUCAUGCCAGCCUCUUGACAUCUAGGCUACCAUUCACAAAAAAAGAUCAGAAAUAAGUAUUAGUAAAUAAUGAUAAUAUUGAUAGGAUUUUCAUUUUUAAUUCCCCCUGUCCAAAAAUAGAAAGAAAUUGAAGGAGUUCUUAUCGUGGUGGAGGAUUACACGUACUCAAACGUUAUGCACCAAGCAAUACAGGUAGUUAACAAGAACUUUGCUAUUUGUACAUUGAUUUGCAUUAUUGUCAAGUAUCAAUUGGAUGAAAAAACUAUUUAAAAUUUAAAUUAUUCAAUAGGGUAUUGUUAUGUGACAAAGUGUAAACUAAAGUGUAUACCAUAGUGUACAUGUAGCAAUAUUCAGCUAACAAUUAUCUUACAAGGGUUAAUACAAUUCCUCUUCACAAUACUCAAGUGUCAAGAUUUUCCCUUUAGCUUCUCUGCCAUUAUAUUAGAUGAAAGGGGAAAAAAUAAAAUAAAUUACUAAUUAUAUAUCAAGGAAAUAAAAUAAAUAGAUGGGAUGAGUUUAUUAUAAAAAGAGUACAUAUUAGAAUGCUAGGGUAGAAAUAAAUUUAUUUUGAUCUAAUUGCUUCCAACAUUACGAUAUUAGUCUAAUAAUCACUAAUUCGAUAUGUAAUAUAUUGUCGAGUGCAUUUAAUUCUAUUUAUGAAAUCAAGCAUACGUCUAUGUUAUGUAUAUUUUAUUUCCUUUUUUUUUUUUUUUUAAACUUUAGAAAACUCACGAGCUCAUCAAAUUUUAUUAAGCCCCAGUUUGGCCCCCAUUAUUUCUCAUUAAAUUAAAAAAAAAUUUCUCUUCUAUUUUUAACCACACAAUUUUCAAUAAAAUAAUAUUAUAUGUAAAUCAGAAACUUUUCUUUUCUUUUCUUUUCAACUACUUUAUUUCAAAAAAACACUAUACAAAAUAUUAUAAUCGCCAAAUAAUGGGGCUCAAACGGGAGCUAAAUUUUAACCAUCUUGUCACUUGUACGUUUUAGCAGUUGUAUCUUCCUACACAUCUGCUUUUUCUUUUGUCAAACUAAUAUAAAAGAAUAAGGAGCGACAAAUUUCAACAUAAUUUUCUUCUUAAAAAAUCAGUUAACUUUCAGUACUUUGAACACUACUAAUUACUAUAUAAAGUGAAAAAUUUUGAUCUUGGAAACUAUCAUAGACUCUUGAUCUUAUUUUGCAAUAAUUCUAGGACUUGGAUAGAUUCCGUCCUGCAGGUGCCCAUGAAUAUAUCUCAGAAGGUAACGUACCAUUUGUUAGCAAAUUUUGUUGCACCCCAUAUAUCUCAGAGACAUCAAUCCGGUGGCGCCGCCUUUUGUUUUGGUACUGCUGGUUAUGAUUGGCAGCGGCCGCGGCGGCAACAAUUUCAUUAUCCUCUAAUGGGAAGUGAUCAAAAGUGGCAUUCAUGAAAGUAGCAGCCAUAAUAACUACAGGGCCUGAAGCAAUGAGAGCACCAACCACACUCCCUCCUACAACCUGCCCUUGAGCCCCGGCCAGGUAUACUGUAAUACCGGCAGCCACUCCCGGCGGUUCUGGUGGCGGCAGAAUUGAACCGAGCAACGAGAGAAUCUCGAAUCGGCCAUGGAGAGUGAUGACUGAUCCCGAUGAAGCUGGCUGUCGGACGGUGACAUUGGUGGCGCAACCCGUCGCGUUAAGUACGCAUAGGCCACGCUGUUUCCGCUGGGAAAAGUUUAUUAAGGUUUCAUUAAUAUCGCAGCCGGAGUUUACUUCUAUUGCAUAUACUCUUAGUGCAUUAGCACUUUCACUGGUGAUGAUAAUCGGUGGUCUAGGUUUGUUCUUGGAGCCAGCUGGCCUUCCGCGAGGGCGGCGGAGGGAUUCUCCCUCCGGCGUGCGCUGUAGCGCCACUAGCAAACUACCUUUUGCAUCAAC
rnacentral:lncRNA from 1 species